rnacentral:lncRNA from 1 species
GUGAUCAUAGGCCGGAGCUGAGAGAAUCGAACAGAGAGGGAAUCAGAGUCGGGGAGAAAGAAAGAGAGAGAGAGAGAGAGAGAGAGAGAGAGAGAGAGAGAGAGAUAGUUGAGCGUGUGGGCGGAGAGAGCGAAGGAGAUUUCUCAUUUUUCUGAAACUAACUUUGAGUUAUUUACGGUUAUGCCACUGAGACAUUUUUUUAUCAACAUCUCCUCAUUACAACUUCGAUUUGAACCCACUACAUGUCUACGGACUCGUCUCGAC